rnacentral:lncRNA from 1 species
CGUCGCUGCGCAGGUGGGAGCGCAAAGGAAAGCACCGAGACGUGCGAGAGGCCAGGCGCGCUCCUCUCCGCGCGGUCGGAGCCGGGGGCUGAAGACCACUCGGCAGAGAGCCCCGCGGCAUCGGGGGCACCGUACUCUUUUGUUUGUUUGUCGUCGUUGUUGUGUAUUUCCUAAAGAACAAAACACAGACCCGAAGCGUACCCCGGGGAUUAACGUGUGAGCAAAAUUGCCUGCGUUUAUCGACAGCGUAUCUUAACCGAUGCCACCUCGUAGCGCUGUAAAUAAAAAGUCUGCAUAAUACCGUGAAGAUUCCAUCUUUUAGAGUACUCGGAAUCUGAUGUGUUUGAGUUCUGUCCCAAAAAACCUCUCGGAGAAUCAGACAGCUUGUGAAUGCAGCAGCUUGGAAUUCAGGUCUUCCUGCGCAGGUCCUCCCCUGCUCCUUUCCAGAGCUUUAAGGACACUGACCCUGCCUCCAAACCCAGGAGAUCUGCCUCUUAAACGCUACUGGCACAGCCGGCACGGGGAGCAGGAGGGGUUCGCAUUGACAGGAUUCCAGGCAAAAGCCGGAGUUAAAGAGCACAGCGGCCCCUUCCUCCUUGGUUCUCAUCUAUUUAAAACUGCUCUAAAAUAGAUCUUUUAAAUAGAUGAGAGACGGGAGCUUUCUGUAGCUGCAGAGUAAGGGAGCCACAUCGACAACAAAGGCUCCCGCCUCUGUGCCUCAGUGCCCUGAGCUCAAACCGCUGCUCGAGGAGAAAAUGGCACCGGGGGCUCAAAAAUCCCCACGGGGCUACACUGGAGCCUGAGCUCCAGAGGUUCGGAAGGAAACUGAAGAAGAAGUAGAUCCACCUUGAAAAUAACUCAGAAAUGAGCUGCUGAGACCGCUGGCUCCUCCCUCGGCGAAUGUGUACGUCUGCGGUGUUGUCUUUAACACCCCGAUCAGCUGAACUGCUCACUCUUCCAACGGAUGAUUACUGUCAAUCCUAAGCACGCCAAAUAUUUUUACAGUGUUUGGGGAACCAAAAAAAAAAAAUACCUUGAAACCAGAGAAGUGGUGAGAAGACUGAGUGAGCGGCGUGACACUGAUGUGGUGCUCGGGAUUGCUGCUCUGCACAAGGCCGCUGUCCUUCAGAAGUUUUCCGGCAUGAGAUCACGACUACUUGUGUGGCUGGGUUUGUUGUACAGAGGGCAAAAGCUGCAUCAUUCCACAGCAGGAGCCGAGUGCUUUUAAGAAAUGUUGGCUUUAAGUCACGUCACGCAGAGGGCAAGGGCGGUGUAUCACCGGCUACUGUGCAGCAAAUGGUGAGGGACCGCAAGAGAAACAGAUCCACGAAGGUGGAUGCCUUGCAAACAGUGAUCCGGGUUCAGAAACGCUACUGAAAAAAUUUAUUCUCCAGAAUGGCAAGUUUGAUGAUUCCCAGCAAGGUAACUUGCAAGAGUUUUUCAAGCAGAGGUGAUUUAACAGCAACUGCAAUUGCGAAAAUGAGAAAUUAUGACUGCCAACUAUUGGAACUGAGAGAAACCCCCUCCAAUAGAGAGAAUCUGAACAAGGACCAUAUGCAAGCAACACAUGAGGAUUACCUUCUGCUCUGUUCAGGAGAAACUGGGGAGUUUUGCUUAAUUUAUGCAUAUUUUAGGCUGCUGUAAAGAGCUCUGAUCAGCAGCUUUGGAUACUGUAAGGGUAAUACAGUGACCCUCAACUUAGCCACAGAGGCUGCUCAGGAGAGGCUAUCUCUAGGUGUGAGCUGAGGAAGCACCUGCCAACAGGCUGCUUUGGUCAGGAAAAUCCUCCGGCACAUUGGAUAUACCUACCUGAUCGGAAUGCUCAGAAGGCUUCACAGCAGACAACGAAGAAAAAAAAUGCUUUGGUUAUCACAGAAGAACUUUGUGGAGGGUGAGAGGAAAGAAAGAAAUUGCCUACGAACAGACACUGGAGAGUGUUUUCUUCAGAGGACUACAGCUCCCAGAUGCUUCUGCUCCUUUCUGCUGCUCUAAGUUCUGCAGUUACUCAUCACUUGACUCUAAGCGGUUCCAGUCUGUUAUUCUGUAUCACAAUACAUGUUGAAUUGGUGGCAUCACAUUCCAUUCCAGCAAAAGUGACUGAAAACCCUUCCUGUCUCAUAGGCAGUGGGUGUUCUACUUUUCUUUCAAGUCCCCCUUUCUUUUCCCCUUCUCCCUCUGCCUCUCUUCACUCCACCAUGCAGUCACCACUUCUGCCAUCCCUGAGCAGCCAUGCAAGACAAGCACAAACUGUCUGGAGGGCUGAAAAUGGAAGACGCAGCAGAUGGAAACACCAAAAUCAUCCUUUUCUGUAGGCUCUCUGAAAGCAGAGAUGCAAGAGAAUUUUGUACACUGCUUUUUUGGUUUUCUUUUUCUUUUUUUUUUUCUUUUUGUGACUUGACACAGAUAUACCUGCUCGAUCUGGAUGCUCAGAAGGCUCCACAGCAGACAAUGAAGAAAACACGUAGCUGUAGAUGUCCCUGUUUAUUGCAGGGCAGUUGGACUAGAUAAACUUUAAAGGUCCCUUCCAACGUAAACAAUUCUACGAUUGUAUGACUUCUGAGAUUUCUAACUGAUUUUAAAACUUUAAGUGAUCUUUAUGCUGUUAGUAAAUUCUUUUAAAAUGAUAAGGAAGUAGUGCUACAUAAAGUGAAACUGUCAAAGACUUUACACAUUGAUUUGGCAAGCUAGGAUUGUCAGCAGUACUCACCUGUAUGUCACAACCAGGGACAUCUGUUAGAAAGAGAGGUGCCACCGCUGUGUUAACUCACACAUAGAUGACUGUAUCACCAAGGAGGCUGUGCAGCCUGAGACCUGCCACAGUCAUGCUGGGCUGAAGUGAGAUUUUUGUUGAAAAGAAGAUAAUGGGUGGUUCUGGGCACCACUGAGGCAUAUGCAGGGCAGUAAAGUAGACAAUGGCAAUCUUAGAGACCCAGAGAUGCAACAGACCAUCCAUCUCUGGUCAUUUCUGUCACAUGAAAAAGCAAACUUAAGUAAUCUCUGAAUUUUCUGAGCAUGGACAGCAUCUCAGAAAAAAUCACAAAUGCUGAACAAUUCUGAAGUAUGUUUUAACUCUGUUGGAUUUCUGAUCAAGAAUUGAAGUACAAAGAUACAUUGCUAUCCUUUUCAGAUCAGCAGAAACACCCCAAGCAUUGCCAGAGAAGUGAGUGCCCCUGAGGUUACAAAUGGAGGUGCAGAACAGAAACUCGGGCACAUCAAGCAGGGAGGGACUUUAGGAGUUUGGGACAAGCAGGCAGCAAGGUAAGAGCUUUCAGGAUGUUUUCCUAUCUCCUACCUUGAGCAUCUCUGUCACGUGCAGGGUUGAGUCUAAAGCUCCAAGUUCACAGCAAUAUCCAGCAUGUGUUAUCAGAUAGGAAUGCUUCUCCUUCAAAUCUAACCAUCUGUAUUUGUGGCUGCGAAUACUUUUAUCUGAAUUAUUUUAUCUGUAAAUAUUCUCCCAAAUUGUUUUCAAGGAAUAAAUAAUAUGAAGCACUACAUCUCUGAAAAAUCCAAACGAAUCCAGCAAUUGUUUAGUAAAGGCUAAGUGCUUUUCAUGAGAACAUUUAAGAUAAAGGAAUAUAUGUACUUCUCUUCCUGUUUAUAAUAUGAUUCAGAGUUCAUUAAAGGAACUGGGAAUAGAGCAGAAAAGGUGUUAAAAGGUGACAGUUAAAAGGCGAUAGUACCAGAGAUCAAUUGAUUGCAGGUUUCACAGAGAAAAUAUUAGGAAGUUCUGUGUGCCCAUAAGGUUCAAUUGAAGUGUGUGAAGAUCAGUCACUCCAACGGUUAUCCUAAAUUCUCAAAAUAAAAAUGUCAUCACAACAAUUUCUUAAAUAGUUUUCUGCCUUUUCAUUCUCUUCCUAGAUGGAGAAUUUCCAUCAAAAUAUGUUGCUUAUUUAAGCCUUCAUUUUUAUGCUGAUUCUACAUGCUAGAAAGGAGAAAACAAAUAUUAAGCGUGUUUUUCAAAAUGACACAGAAGAGACAGAGCCAAGUUAGUUAUCUUCAUGAUCUCAGCAAAAUGGCAGGG